UUUUCACAAAAAUUCAUAUUGGUCCCUGAACUUUAUCAAUAAUUUUGUAGUCCCUAGAUUUUAUUUGCAAUAUAGUUUAGCCCUUAUUUAAAUUUUUCGUUCCUCUAAUUUUUUGGAAAAUGCAAUUUAGUCCUGAAUUGGAUUUUUUUUUAGCAACUAAGCUCCUACAUCUAAAAAUUCAUUUUAAUAAAAUAUGGGUAAACUUGGUCAAACUUUAGUCAUCCAAAUUAAAAAAUCAACGAGUGAUAAAUAAAUAACAGAUAAUAUGGAAAAUUGAGAAAUAAUGAUUUUGUCUAUUGUAUCAUACAAGCCUGUUCCACCCCACGAUGGGACAAUAAUUUUGCUUUCGGGACAACUUUGGACAGGAAGAGGAUUAAAUCCUUUUCUUGUCACCAAACACAACACAGUCUGUCAUGUCCAAUGCGUGCAACAAACACAACACAACCUGUCCAGUCCUGUGUACCAAAUGCAUCUUGAUAGUUCCCUUUUCUUUUGGACAAGCAAUAAACUAAGAAGAAUUACACCCUGGCCAUCAUAUUUUUGUUUGCCAUUUUAACUAAGUUUAAAGUUCAUUUCCAAAGGAUUUCGUUCAUUGCUGCUAAUAGAGCUAUCAACUGCUGAACUGAUGCCAUUUGAAGGGGAAAAGAAAACAUAGCUGCUGAUAUAUCUUCUACCAUGUAUACAUUGACCAUCCUUAAAUUUGAACCAAUUCAAGUCAUUAGCAUCAAGUUUAGAGUCUUUUGAUGUGUUUGAGAAAUGGGCUUGAGAUUUUUAUGCCUCUAGAGAAAGAGAGUGUGCGUGAGUUGGAA
rnacentral:lncRNA from 1 species